rnacentral:rRNA from 1 species
UACGAAGGGGGCUAGCGUUGCUCGGAAUUACUGGGCGUAAAGGGAGCGUAGGCGGGUUAUCAAGUUGGGGGUGAAAGCCCGGGGCUCAACCUCGGAAUUGCCUUCAAAACUGAUAACCUGGAGUAUGGAAGAGGUAAGUGGAACUCCGAGUGUAGAGGUGAAAUUCGUAGAUAUUCGGAAGAACACCAGUGGCGAAGGCGACUUACUGGUCCAUUACUGACCGCUGAGGCUCGAAAGCUAGGGG